UACGAAGGGGGCUAGCGUUGCUCGGAAUUACUGGGCGUAAAGCGCACGUAGGCGGCUUCUUAAGUCGGUGGUGAAAUCCUGGAGCUCAACUCCAGAACUGCCUUCGAUACUGUGAAGCUCGAGUCCGGGAGAGGUGAGUGGAACUGCGAGUGUAGAGGUGAAAUUCGUAGAUAUUCGCAAGAACACCAGUGGCGAAGGCGGCUCACUGGCCCGGUACUGACGCUGAGGUGCGAAAGCGUGGGGAGCAAACAGG
rnacentral:rRNA from 1 species